ACCAGCGGGCGAGUGACUCACAGGGUGGCCUUAAACUGUCGCGGAAAAGGGCUAAAACACCUUUGACGCAGAAUUGGCCAUAUCGCCAACAGUACUGUGCCGCCGUCGCCGGUCACGAGAGGAAGCAGGAGGACGCGGAUGGAGUAGAGGCCCGGCAGAUUCCCCCUGAAAGGGGGAUCGGCGGUUCUGAAGGCACAAGAGACUGAUGCGCCCCUGGCUACUGGUUGGACGGUUCAUGGUAAGGCUGGUGCCGAGCAACCACGCCUUGAUGGAGGAACUGAUCGCUCUGGCCUCACUUCUUUUCAUGUCCUUCUAUGUCAUUGCCCCCUUUUCCCUUGGGAUUUUGUGAUUUCAAGAUGCUUGUCUUUCUGAGACCGACUCGAUCUCUUCUGGUCAUUCUCCUCGCCCUUCUUCUUGAUCAAGAACUCCGAGCUCUCUGCGAUGGCGGAGUCACGAGGGCCUGCGACUUGUACUUUCCCGCUGUCGCCGGUCACGAGAGGACACAGUAUGUCAAACCCUCGUGUCGAUGUGAACUCUUGAAGAUCAAUCUAUUAUCCCUAGAAUAACUUUUAUCCAUCGAGCGACGACUCUUUCACUCGACAUGGAUAGUAGUUUUUUCUAGUGAUUCUUCGCUAAU